UUUCCGUAGGUGAACCUGCGGAAGGAUCAUUACUGAGUGAUGGCCCUCUGGGUCCAACCUCCCACCCUUGUUUAUUAUACCUUGUUGCUUCGGUGAGCCCGCCUCACGGCCGCCGGGGGGCAUCUGCCCCCGGGCCCGCGCCCACCGAAGACACCUAGAACUCUGUAUGAAGAUUGCAGUCUGAGCAAAAACUAAAUAAGUUAAAACUUUCAACAACGGAUCUCUUGGUUCCG
rnacentral:misc_RNA from 1 species